rnacentral:rRNA from 1 species
CAGCCACGGUAAUACGUAGGUCCCGAGCGUUGUCCGGAUUUAUUGGGCGUAAAGGGAGCGCAGGCGGUUUAGUAAGUCUGAAGUUAAAGGCAUUGGCUCAACCAAUGUAUGCUUUGGAAACUGUUAGACUUGAGUGCAGAAGGGGAGAGUGGAAUUCCAUGUGUAGCGGUGAAAUGCGUAGAUAUAUGGAGGAACACCGGUGGCGAAAGCGGCUCUCUGGUCUGUCACUGACGCUGAGGCUCGAAAGCGUGGGUAGCGAACGGGAUUAGAUACCCCCGUAGUCCCUGUCUCUUAUACACAU